AAAGGAAUAGACGGGGGCCCGCACAAGCGGAGGAACAUGUGGUUUAAUUCGAUGAUACGCGAGGAACCUUACCCGGGCUUGAAAGUUAGUGAAUGACUUGGAAACAGGUCAGUCCUUCGGGACACGAAACUAGGUGCUGCAUGGUUGUCGUCAGCUCGUGCCGUGAGGUGUCGGCUUAAGUGCCAUAACGAGCGCAACCCUUGUUGUUAGUUGCCAUCAGGUAAUGCUGGGAACUCUAACAAGACUGCUACUGUAAGGUAGAGGAAGGUGGGGAUGACGUCAAAUCAGCACGGCCCUUACGUCCGGGGCGACACACGUGUUACAAUGGUCGGUACAGAGGGUUGCUACCUGGCGACAGGAUGCUAAUCUCAUAAAACCGAUCUCAGUUCGGAUCGGAGUCUGCAACUCGACUCCGUGAAGCUGGAUUCGCUAGUAAUCGCGCAUCAGCCAUGGCGCGGUGAAUACGUUCCCGGGCCUUGUACACACCGCCCGU
rnacentral:rRNA from 1 species